rnacentral:misc_RNA from 1 species
AAAGGUUACAAGGUUAUAGUACUUGAUAUCCCUUUAUUAUUUGAAGCCAAGAUGGAUAGAUGGACAAACCCAACAAUUGUCGUAUGGGUGGAUCCUGAAACACAACUUCAACGACUCGUUGCAAGAGAUGGACAGAGCGAUGACGAUGCUCAGAACAGAAUAAAUGCUCAAAUGGCAUUGGAUCUUAAAAGAGAUAAGGCAGACAUUGUGAUUGACAACACUGGAUCUCUUGAUGACUUGAACGAACGGUUUCGAG